ACGGGACUCUUCGGAGUUCAGUGGCGGACGGGUGAGUAACGCGUGAGAAUCUGCCUUCUGGUCGGGGACAACCACUGGAAACGGUGGCUAAUACCGGAUGUGCCGAAGGGUAAAAGAUUAAUUGCCAGAAGAGGAGCUCGCGUCUGAUUAGCUAGUUGGUAGGGUAAAAGCCUACCAAGGCAUCGAUCAGUAGCUGGUCUGAGAGGAUGACCAGCCACACUGGGACUGAGACACGGCCCAGACUCCUACGGGAGGCAGCAGUGGGGAAUUUUCCGCAAUGGGCGAAAGCCUGACGGAGCAAGACCGCGUGAGGGAGGAAGGCUCUUGGGUUGUAAACCUCUUUUCUCAGGGAAGAACACAAUGACGGUACCUGAGGAAUCAGCCUCGGCUAACUCCGUGCCAGCAGCCGCGGUAAUACGGAGGAGGCAAGCGUUAUCCGGAAUUAUUGGGCGUAAAGCGUCCGCAGGUGGCACUUCAAGUCUGUCGUCAAAGACUGGGGCUUAACCCUGGAAAGGCGGUGGAAACUGAAGCGCUAGAGUGCGGUAGGGGUAGAGGGAAUUCCCGGUGUAGCGGUGAAAUGCGUAGAGAUCGGGAAGAACAUCGGUGGCGAAAGCGCUCUACUGGACCGCAACUGACACUCAGGGACGAAAGCUAG
rnacentral:rRNA from 1 species